rnacentral:misc_RNA from 1 species
UCCUUCUUCUUCUUCUUCUCUUUCUUCCAAGAACUUCGCUCUUUCAGAUUCUGCAGAACUUGCCGGAAUUGGCACAGGAGUUUCAGCAACAACUCUGGCAUUUUUUGAAGGCUGUGGUGUCACUUCUAGGUGAACCAUUUCAACAGGUUGAGGAGAGAAGUGUGAUUUGUUUGAAGAAACAAUUCCACUAGUAAAAACUGAAGCUUUACCGGUAGGAGCAAAGCCUGUGAAAAAUCCCAUAACAAAGCACAAAGCAAAAUGGACAACAGCUUUCUUCCAUAACUGA